GCUCAGUUUCUUCAGAAACCGCGCCAAAAGCAUUGGGAUGCAGUGAUUCGUCUUGUUCGUUACUUGAAGGGCCUACCGGGUCAAGGGAUCAUGUUGAGUUCUGAAAGUGAUCUCUAUCUUUCCGCAUAUAGUUACUCUGAUUGGGCAGCUUGUCCACUGACAAGGAAGUCACUCACAGGCUACAUUGUCAUGAUGGGAAAUUCACUUGUGUCUUGGAAAACAAAGAAGCAGCCGACGGUGUCAAGGUCAUCAGCAGAGGCUGAAUAUCGGGCGAUGGCAAUGACAUGUAGUGAACUUAAAUUGAUGAUCGGGGUUAUGGAUUCUUUGGGUAUCAGACUGCGUUUUCCUAUACCUUUUCAGUGUGAUAGUAAAGCGGCCAUUCACAUUGCCAAUAAUCAAGUUUUUCAUGAAAGAAAAAAGCAUGUGGAGGUAGAUUGUCAUUUUGUUCGGGACUUUAUCAAAGCAGGGAUCAUAGCUACUAAUCAUAUUGGUACAAUGGAACAACUGGCGGAUGUGCUCACUAAGUCACUUGGUCGACAGCAGUUACUCUAUCUACUUGACAAGAUGGGUGUUCAAGAUCUUCACGCUCCAUCUUGAGGGGGAGUAUUAGAUAAAGAUAAACUUAUAGUUUAGAUAAAAUAAGCUAAACAGCUAUUGUAGUUAUCUCCUAUUGUUGCGGAUGAUAUCGCGUAUAAAUAUUGAUGUAUUGACCUUGAGAUGAAUAACACAAACAGAGGUUCUAUUAUCUUGUUAUUAGAUCAUUUUAUUAAGGUUUGGAUUGUUAUUUGACUUUCAGUAACUUACAAGUUUCCGAAUUGUUGCAGUUUCCCUGGAAAAGCUGUUGGAGUGUCAAUCGGUUGCUCUGAUGCUCCUGCUCAAGCUGAGGCACCUGCAGCUGAUGACGAUGAUGACAUGGAUCAUUUUGGUGACGAGACUGAGGAGGAAAAGAAAGCUGCAGAGGAGAGGGAGGCUACUAAGAAGGACACCAAGAAGCCCAAAGAGAGUGGAUAGUCAUUUGUGCUCAUGGAAGUAGAGUCAUUCGAUGAUGAGAUGACAUGAAGAAACUGGAAUCGAAACGAGUGUAAGCUAUGAACUAUUUGUGUAGGCAGCUUUCUAAUUGGUUCUUUUCUUCUGUUUUUUUGUUGCAGAAAAACUGGUACCAGUUGGUUACGGUGUCAAGAAGCUCACGAUCAUGCUCACAUAAUAUUGAGCUUACAGGUCCAAAGUUUAACCGACCCAAACAAUUUAAUAUUUGUGAGGAAAAAGUUACUAUUUUGUAAUCCCAUUAAUGACCAAAAAAAACUCUGGCAUGCAAUUUUCACUACGGUUUAUUUAAAUUUUAUUUCAAAAUAUUUGUUUUAAAACAGAAGUAACGGCUUAUUACAAAUUAACAAAAAAAAACAACACCUACCAAAUUUGGGAUAAUGAACAUUAGUUUCAAAUAAACACAACUACAUAGACCACUCUCCUACCACAUCAAAAAAUCAUAUACAACAGAAACACAUAAAAGAACCACAUUUCUGUACUCCCCCUCCAACUUAUAAAUAUACAAAAGCGGACAAAUCAAAGACUACAACAAAACACAGCGUUACCUUCAAAUAUACCAUCAAUUAAUUAUAUAAAGUUGUAAUUACGUCACCGACCCCGCGCUUGCACGGGGAUACACCCCUAGCCAUGCAUAAUCAAGACGUGCAUGCAUAAUCAAAUUAAAACGCUAACCAAGCAAGGAAUCACAUGCAACUGUGGAUAAAAAACAAUCUAACGGUUUUUUCAGUAUCGACCAAAAUUAGACUCAAGGCCCACCACAAUUCAAUCCCAAACAUUUUAAGACCCACAAUUAUAUAUUCAUUAUAUUGAAACAUUAAGCUACAAGAGUUCAAAUUUUAUGUUAACCAUUUAAAUAU